GUUAUUUAAUAUAAAGUCUGACCUGCCCACUGAAAUUAUUUUGAAGGGCCGCAGUAUUUUGACUGUGCAAAGGUAGCAUAAUCAUUAGUCUUUUAAUUGAAGGCUGGUAUGAAUGGUUGGAUGAGGUACAAGCUGUGUCAUAAAAAUUAAUAUUUGAAUUUACCUUUUUAGUUAAAAGGCUAAAAUAAAAUUAAAAGACGAGAAGACCCUAUAGAGCUUUAUAUAAUUUAUAUUUAAAUUAUUAAGAUUUUUUAAGUUUAAUUAUUUUAUUAUAUUUUGUUGGGGUGACAAUAAAAUUUAUAAAACUUUUAUUAUUAAUAAACAUUUAUUUAUGAUUAUAUGAUCCAGUUUUAUUGAUUAUAAAUUUAAGUUACCUUAGGGAUAACAGCGUAAUUUUUUUUGAGAGUUCUUAUCGACAAAAAAGAUUGCGACCUCGAUGUUGGAUUAAGAGUAAUUUUGGGUGUAGAAGUUCAAAAUUUAAGUCUGUUCGACUUUUAAAUUCUUACAUGAUC
rnacentral:rRNA from 1 species